rnacentral:guide_RNA from 1 species
AUUAUCAACUGUGAGAUUAUAUUACAAGGAAUAAGUGAUUUUU